CCUGACACGGGGAUCAAACCCACGUCUCCUGAAUCUGCAGGCAGAUUCCUUACCACUGGGCCACCAGGGAAACAUGAGCUCAAAGAAUGACAAAAGACAGGCAACAUACUUCUACGACAGAACACUCUGGAACUGACUUUUUACCUCUCUGCGGCUGCUUGUAGAGCAAGAGCAUCACACAAUGGGCCCCAAGCAGCAUUAGCACAGGCUCUAAGUGACCCUUUAGUUGACUGUGGACAGUACCCCAAUAGCCCUCAGCCAGCGCCCAACCUCAUGCUGACUUUCAAUACGCUUCCUGAUGACAGGCAGCAGCUGGCCCUCAAUUUCCUGAUCAGGAAACCUGAGAGGAAAGCCCAGUGAGCCAGGCAGGAUUCCAAGCUGGUUUUGGAGCCAGACACUGUGCAAAGCGUCUAGUCAUUAAGAAGCCCAAGUUUCUAGUUUCUAACAACAGUGUACCAACCUACCAUUGAAACCUACUUCAGAAGGCUUGGUUCAACAGAAAAGUGUAUUUUACAAUUCAUAAAUCAUCAUGGAAACUCAUCUUUACCUUUUACUAAAAAUCGCAUAGACGUUCUGAUCAAUAAUAUAAAUACGAUAUUGUACUUAGCCACACGUGUACAGAUUUGNNNNNNNNNNNNNNNNNAUACAAACACAUAUAUAAACACAUUUAACACAUAGAUACGUAAAUCCAAGCUUAUAUAAAUAAAUAUGUGCAUAUUAAUUUUAUAUUUAAAUAUGAUUGCCUCCUGGUACACUCAUUUUUAGAUAGGUUUAUCUAGAAUAUUUGCUUAACAUUUAAGUGGUUUUGAAUCAAAUGAUACAUCUAAGUAAGGCUGAUCAAAGUAUUAUGUAUAAAGUUUCCUGACCAUUCAACUUUUCUCUAUUGGCUGAUUCAAGAAAUUAGUAGCAUGGGCUUCCUCAGCUUCUUCCAUCUGUAUAGAGUUGACAUUAAUGUCUGUAUCUUUUCUAAAUUUUCCAGAAAUAUCUCCAACUUCAAAGUUUGUACAAAAUAAUUAAAUAGGUAACAUCACCAGCAUGUCCCCCAUGCUAUAAAAUUUCUUACAGCAAAUAAUCCUAAAAACUUACAAAAGAAAUCUGGUCAAUAAGAUCUAUCCAUUGUGUAUAUGUACCACAGCUUUCUUAUCCAUUCAUCUGCUGAU
rnacentral:lncRNA from 1 species